rnacentral:misc_RNA from 1 species
CGGGAAAAGAGAAAUGAACUUAGACAUAGAGGGCGUCCAGUUUCGUCUUCCAUCCAGCUCUCCAAACAUAUCAUCACCAUCAUCGUAUGUGGGCUUUUGUAGCUGUAACAUAACAACUCGCACCUCUCACAAACUAUGAGAAGAAGUUUCUUUUUUCUUCGCUGCUCCAAUUCUCCGUUUUCUCCGUCUGAAUUCUCAGUAUUGACUAUGUAUAGCUAAACAAGGAAGGGAUUUAAAGGGAGUUUUACGGGUCGGAAUUGGCGAGGGUUUGAUUUAAUUUCUUGCAUGUUUUAAAAUAGAGAAAGAUGAACACAGGAAAAGGAGAGAAGCAUCAUCAUCAUGAUCAUGAUCAUCAAGAGCCCCCUUAUCAUGUCAUUCACAAGCUUCCUCCUGGUGAUAGCCCUUAUGUUAGAGCCAAGCAUGUCCAGCUAGUUCAAAAGGAUCCAGAAGCCGCGAUAGUUUUGUUUUGGAAGGCAAUAAAUGCUGGAGAUAGAGUAGAUAGUGCCCUCAAAGACAUGGCAGUGGUUAUGAAACAGCAAGAUCGAGCAGAGGAAGCAAUUGAAGCUAUAAAAUCUUUUAGGCAUCGCUGCUCCAAGCAAGCCCAAGAAUCACUUGACAAUGUCCUCAUUGACUUGUACAAGGUAUCCACAUAGUACAAUAGUUUGGUUAGAAUUAGAAUAGAUAUUCUGGUUGUAUGAGCUAAGAAGCUCAUUGCCUUUUCUCUAGCCUUUGAAUACAUCCAAGUUAGUUAUCACUGAGUCAUUAUUGUCAAUAGCAAUUUAGAAUUAUCAAUAAUUGAUCAUGAUUAGCCAGAUUCUCCUGUUUUUAGAAUGUGAGUUUAUUGUCCUGUUAUCUUUUGGUUGGUUUCACUAGUAAUUAUAAAAAUUGAAGAAAAUGGCAGAAAUGUGGGAGAAUUGAGGAGCAGAUAGAACUAUUGAAGCAGAAGCUUCAUAUGAUCUAUGAAGGAGAAGCAUUCAAUGGAAAGCUAACUAGGACAGCUCGCUCUCAUGGGAGAAAGUUCCAGGUUACCAUCAAGCAAGAGACAUCUCGGAUACUGGUACUGAAUUUAUCUAGUCUCUUCUUUCAAUAAUACAUUGCACAUAUCCUGUUUAAUGAUCAAUGACUACAUGAUCUGUUUUUUUUCCCUUUGUUUCUUAAUCUAUUAAGGUUGUCAUUUCUAUAAAUCUUACCUCUAUUGGGCAUGUGUGAGAGCAUGAGUGGCUCCACUUUAUUGUUCUUUUUCCCCCCAUUAUGUCCUGGUUGCAGUUGUCUUCAAAAGUUAGCUAACUUCACAAACAUUCAACCAGGGAAACUUGGGUUGGGCGUACAUGCAGCAAGGAAGCUAUUUGGCAGCAGAAGUUGUGUACCAGAAGGCGCAAUCAAUUGAUCCUGAUGCUAACAAGGCUUGCAAUUUGUGCUUGUGCCUUAUCAAGCAAGCGCGAUAUGCUGCGGCACAUUCAGUCCUUGAUGAUGUAUUGCAGGGUAAGCUUGCAGGAUCCGAUGACCCCAAGUCAAGAAGCCGUGUGAAGGAGUUGCUUCAUGAAUUAGAAGCAUGCCAAUCAUCACUGCUAUCGCCAAAAUCAUCAGAAUUAUGUUUAGAAGAUGCUUUUGUUGAAGGACUUGACAAGUUGAUGAGUCAAUGGGCACCCUAUAGGUCAAGGAGACUUCCCAUAUUUGAGGAGAUCUCUCCAUAUAGAGAUCAAUUAGCUUGUUGAUCCUAUAUUCUUAGAUCCGUCUUUCUUGAUAGACUGAGGAGAUAAAUGAUAGUGUGGAAGAAACAAUAAAUGGGAUUAAGAUACUAGUUCCUGUAUAACAAAUGUGAACUUGAAAGAAACUGUAAACUAGUGUUCUUUGCAGUGGAACUUCAACACCUGUAAGUAACAAAGUUACUGUAGAAAUACUUUACAUUCUUAACUCAGAAUCCAUAAACAAAAGAUUUCCAUGAUUUUGUACGCGAUCAAUUUGUAGAAAUUACCCUUUUAUGAAGUUGGAAUCAAG